CAAGAAAUUUACUAAGUGAUUNUUUCCAUAUUCAGGGAAAUCUGGGUUGAAAGAAAAACAUAGUAGGUAAUCCUGAGCCAAAUUUUUAUUGUAAAAUAGGUGCAGAGACCCAAAGGAAACUAUCCGAUUGAAAAACUAUAAUAUUUNUAGAUAAAUNUAAAUNNNAUUNUUUNAUAAUUUAUUAUUAUAAAUUAUGUUGGAUAGGGAUAAAGAUAGAGUCCAUUUUUACAUGCUAUAUUCAGUUAGCAGCGAUGUAAAUCAUUGUAAAAAGAAAAUCCGUUGGCUUUUUAGACCGUGAGGGUUCAAGUCCCUCUACCCCCA
rnacentral:tRNA from 1 species